rnacentral:rRNA from 1 species
AAACCUGACUAACUUCACCAAAACAAUAUUUAAUAAGUGAUUUUUAUAUAAGGUUUUAGGUUGGGGCGACCACGGGGAAAAACCCAACCCCCGAGAUGAAUAUAAACCUAGAAAAACUACUCAAAGUAACAAUAAUCUUGACAUAAUUGACCCAAUAAUUGAUCAACGAACCAAGUUACCCUAGGGAUAACAGCGCAAUCCUCCCACAAAGUCCCUAUCGACGGGCGGGUUUACGACCUCGAUGUUGGAUCAGGACCCCCAAAUGGUGCAACCGCUAUUAAA